rnacentral:lncRNA from 1 species
ACAAUUUACAUGGACCUGCAGGAACUUGACAUAUCAAUCGUAAGUUAUAUGGGAAGGGUGAAGCUUGCCUUCACAGUGAAAAAAGGCAUCAUAGAUCCACAAAAGUUGAAGUUGUGCAUGGAAAACGCCCUCAAUAUGAUAUCCAACGCCGCAGACAAAAAUUCUAUGGAAAAUAGCACUGAAGAACAGUCACACAUUUGAAACUCUACCAAAACCGUAGAUCUAAAAAAUUCAUAGACGGCAGGACUCUUGCUCUAGCUUAAGGCUGGUGGCAGCCUUCUCCUCCUUCCCUUUACCUCCUCUUUCUUGUUCUUAUGGAUUGCUCAAAUUUGUUUCGUUUUAGUAUUUCGUCAAUAAGCGCCUCCUUAGUGAGGUUAUUUGUGAGUCUCUCCUAGUGAGUAUCUUAGUUUUAAGAUGAUGUGUUCUCGGCCCCUCUUGGGUCUACAACGUAUUUUUGGUAGCUUCGCUAAUGGUGUUGAGCAUAAAAUUCGAGUUAGUAUGGACACCAAUUGGUUUGUUGUCAAUUCCUUUUCGGAGUUGACGCUGCUUGUUGUCAAAGAGUGUCCUUAUGCUCGUUAUAUUGCAGUUUGGGCAAAACCACAUAAACACACUGUCAUAUUAAUCAAAUGCCGAACUAAAUGCACGAGCAUAUUUUGUCUAUAAUAUGCCAUUGUCAAUAAAAUAAAAAAGACAUGCCGCAAAAUCGUAUGCUAUUUCAAAACUUGAUAAGUUUUAGACCAAGUAUUGUACAACGUCCAAUUACUAGGGACGUUUGAAGUUUCUUUUGAAGUACUCUUCACAUGAUUCCUUCUACUGAAAAUAUGCCCUUGAAACUCAAUUUUCUCCACAUAAAACCCGACGUAAAUUUUUUGCUCAAAUAAAACUCAUUGACUAGACUCCACAUAAGCAAAUUCAUUAAUUAUGUCUGACUUUACCAAUUUAAAAAUUUUCGGAUGCCUAAAACACUCUACUGAAUGUUUAAUGUACACAAUUAAUUAUAUGCAAAUUGUAAGGGAGAAUUAAUGAUUUUACAAAAAUAAUAUUUUGCAUAUAAAUGUAGGGAUUUGUUGGUUAGUUUGGCUCUCGAAUUCCAAUUUACCAUCACAACUUGUCCAUAUAUUAUAUAUAGGUAAAUUAUUGUACUUUAAAAUAUAUAAAAAAAUUGUUGUCAAAGUAAAAAUAUAUAAAUUAAAGGAGAUAAAUAUUGCAAGUAAAUUAAUUUUAGGAGAAAGAAAAAGAAAAGAACCAACUAUAGGUAAAUUAUUUACAUAUACAAUCUAGAUAUUUGAUUCACAUAAAAAAUGUAUGUAAAUCACGUGUGCAUAAUUUACCUACUAUUAUAUUAAUUUACCUACUUGCAUAAUUUAGGAAAAAUGCCAAGAAAACAUGAGAAUAUUAUUUGCAUAUAUCAUAGGAAAAUUGCCAAAAGAAAUAUGAGAAUAUUUUGUUUAUAUACUGUAGGUAAAUUACAGACUAUGGGAUGAUAUUAUUUAUAUGGGUAAAAUAGGGAUGUUUAACUAUUAUAUAUAAGUAGAAUAAUUACACCGAAUAAUAAUGUAGUCAUUAUUUAAAGUAAUGCACUGGAUUGUUGCAGAAAUUAAAAAUAAAUAAAUAGAAAAAACGUCAGGAUGAUUAAUUAGAUUUUAAGACCCUUGAUUGAAGCUAAUUUUCAAGUGUGUCUUGUGGCAAAAAUUGUAAAUAAUUUGUAUUAGUAGGUUACUUAUAUUCUUAUGUGGCAGUUUAUUUGACUUUUGGAUUUUUGUUGGAUGUUUAAUUAUAUAUGGAUUUAUGUUUAGAAAUCAUGAUUUUUCAGGAUUAAUAUCUAAUGAAUCCUUCGUUCUAUGAACAAUUCCAUAAUUAUUUAAUUUGGAAGUAGAUUGAAAAUAAUGGAAAGAAACGGUGGAAAUAGGUUGAAGUGAAGCUGGAAGACCAUGUUAUAACUCCAAACUUUCCAUACUACUAGAAAUUUCCACUUUGUUGAUAAAAUUAGUUUGUCGGCAAAAGAAAAAAAUCGUCGGUAAAGAGUCAUUUCCAACGAAUAAUUUUGUCAGCCAUUUUGUCGUGAAAAGCAUGUCGCGCAAGAUCUUUCCUGAUGAAUCUUGAUAAUUCGUCGGCUCAUUUUUAGGGCGACAAAUCUCAGCCGUCAAAUUGUCCCAUCACCAAAACAACGUUGCGACAAAAUAUUUUGUCGGCAUAGGUUGUUUAUUCACGACGAAGUUAUUUGUCGGCUUAAUGAUCUUGUUGCGACAAAACAUUUGUCGGCUGAGUAAUCUUGUGGCAACAAAAUGGUUUUUCAGCUGUGAAGUCCUAUGCCAACAAAUUGGUUUGUUGGCUCAAAUUACUUGUGUAGACAAAAUAGUUAAUCAGUUGAAUCUUUUCUGAACAAAAACAUUUGUCCGCUUAUUAUUUUUUUGCCGACAAACGACGUGUCAAGUCUAAUAUUUUUUUUUUAUUCGCAUUUUGUUUUUCUAAUAAUAUGUUUAACCAUCACAAACAAGCAAGCUUUUGACAUGCAAGCUUAAGAGCUUGAGAAAGGGUGUGAAUGAAGAAUUAAUGUAGGAACGACACAAAAAUUCAUGUAAUAUAAACUAACGUAAGGUUCACAAUUCGGUUCAAUUACAAAAUACAAAAAUAUCUAGGUUUUCAUUUCGACAUUACUAUAAUAUAGAUAAAAUAUCCUCAAGCAUCAUCAUUCUCAUUAUAGUCCUCAUCAUGUUGAUAUGCUGCAUCACGAAAUCCAGGAACGGGUGAGGAUCGUCAUGAAAUAUUCCAGUAUUAGGUGAGGAUUGUUAUGAAAUAUUCCAGUAUCAAACAACUAUAGAAGAAAGGCAAGUUAAAAAACUUGAUUAUAAUACAUUAAGGGUAGUAAACAUUAUUUACAUUAAGGAAACGCAAGGCCGCACUAGAGUGAUAUUUCUAAACAAAUAACUUAUGAAACCAUCAAUGUGUAAACAACAAGAUAAAGACAUUUACUAAUCAAGUUAAAUCACCAACGCCAUGCAGCAUCACAACCUAGUAAAAUUACAUGUUUAAUAGAUACCAUGUAAUAAUCAAGUUGGCAUCACCUACUUAAAUGGCAUUCAUCACUGUAAACAACAAAAAAUUUAGGGUAAAAGACUAUUUACUACCCUCAUGUUUUGUGAUUUUCAACAUUUAGUACAUCAAGUUUUUUUCGUCUCAGAUUCAUACCUAAAGUGUAAAUUUUGGGACAGUCUCAUAUAUUCGUUAGUCAAACUGUUAAAUUUACCGUUAAUUGUGAUAUGGCGCCAUGACUGGGCGCCACGUGUCAUCCACGUUUUUUUUUUUUUCUUCUUUCUUCUGCAAUUUUUUUUUCUUCCUCCUUCUCCUUCUUCCUUCCUCCUUCCUCCUUCUACCUUCCCCUUCUUCUCCUUCUCAUUCUUCUUCUUUUUCCUCCGAAUCUGGGGAAGUUUUUUUUUUCUUCUUCUUCUUCCUCCUUUUUCCUCCUUCUUCUUCUUUCUUCUUCUUUUUUUUUCUUCUUCCUCCGACUGCAACCUUUUUUUUUUCUUCCUCCUUCUCCUUCUUUCUUCCUCCUUCUUCUUUCCCCUUCUUCUCCUUCUUCCUUCUUCUUAUUCUUCUUCCUCGAAUCUGGGGAAGAUGAAGGGUUUUUUUUUUUUUUUUUCCCCCAGAUUCGGAGGAAGAAGAAGGAAGAAGAAGAAGAAGGAGAAGGAAGAAGGAGAAGAAGGAGAAGAAGGAGGAAGAAAAGAAAGAAAAAAAACUUCAUCUUCCCCAGAUUCGGAGGAAGAAGAAGAAGAAGAAGAAGAAGAAGGAAGAAGAAGGAAGAAGGAGAAGAAGGGGAAGGAAGAAGGAGGAAGGAAGAAGGAGAAGGAGGAAGAAAAAAAAAAGAAAAAAAAAAAGAAGUUGCAGUCAGAGGAAGAAGAAGAAGAAGAAGAAGGAGGAAGAAGAAGAAAGAAGAAAAAAGAAAAAAAAAACGUGGAUGACACGUUGUGCCCAGUCAUGGUGCCACGUCACAAUUAAUGACAGAUUUAACAGUUUGACUAACGAAUGUAUGAGACUGUCCCAAAAUUUACACUUUAGGUAUAAAUCUGAGACGAAAAAACUUUGAUGUCCUAAAUGUUGAAAACCAAAAAACAUGAGGGUAGUAAAUAGUCUUUUACCCAAAAUUUUAUAAAUAGCAACAGCAUGAUUCUCACACAUUGGAAACAAGGCAGCAUGAUCAUCUGGUCUUUAUUACAUGUCAUAUAAGAAAGUAGAGAUAGGACAUAUUGAGUUUUUUCUUUGUUAUUUUCUACUUUACUACUUUUUAAUGUCAUUAUGUUACUAAGUUAUCUUGUAAAUGCAAUUCAAUAUUUUCUGUGCCUAUGAAGUGUGCAUUUUUGUAGCAUUUAUUGGGUUUGGAAUCUGGAUGGAGAUUGCAAUGGCAGAGUUUUCGGGAUUAGCAACUGGUAUAACCAUAUAUGCAUUUACAUACACUUUAGUUUAGAUCCUUGUUAUGUUUUUUGAGUGAAUUUAGAUUGUUUCACUUAGUUUUAUAUUUUUCUUAGGUUUGAAGAGUGAAGAAGAAGAAAGUAGAAAACAGAGCUUUUUUUCGAUUGAAAUGAGUUUAGUAUCCUGGAAGCAGUAACUGUUUGUGCAGAUUAGCCAAUUUACAAAGCUGUACUUAUCCUCAGAAGGAACCAGGUGCUGAGCCUUACACCAUUGGAAAGAUAUGGAAGUUAUCAUUUAGAAGAAUUUUACGGUUCAUGAUUUCGAUUUUUCUAGAAGACAUUAUAGCAAUUUUCGUACAGGACGUUCGUCAGCCAAGCUUUUAAUUAAAGAAAACGUGCAACGCAAAAGGAGAGCUUCUAUAAGAGUUGAAGACUAUCUUAAAAGGUUCAGAAUUAAUAUUUUUAUGGUUUUGGUGUGACACAUCAUCAACAUUCCAAUUCAAAUAACGAGAGAGUUAGAGAAGUCCUAUUCAAGAAAGGAUUUGAGCAUUUAGUCAAGUGAAAAAGAAGGAAAACAGGAGAGACUUUGGAGACUAUGUUUUGAGCGUGAUUGGUAGUCCAAGUAGAAGAGAAGUCACUGCCGUCAACCAUAUUUCCAUCCAUCUUCGUCGUUCGGAAGUAUUUCAUGCUUUCAAGAUUUUUAAUUAUGUUUUUGUAUUCUAUGAGUCACUAAACAAUGGAACCAAUACAAAUUGCAUAAAAUAAUAAAAGAUUAUAUGUAAUUCAUCAUAGUUUAUAAUUUUUAUCUGUGUAAACAAGAAGAUAUAGACAUCUACUAAUCAAGUUAAUACUCAAAUAGCAAAAUCACCUGGCGUGAAUGAUCCUCACACUGGUCUCCAUGUCGGGCUGAUACCAGUUGUAAGCUAUUGAUAGGAUUUUUACUACCUGCAAAAAUAGCGAUAAAAACACUUAAAAUACCUGUAAGAGUACAAGGUAAUCGUAGUAUACUCGGCUCUAGCAAGGUCGUUCUCCACCGAGAUUGAAUGAAUAAUUUAUGUAAAACCAAAUAUUAAUUAAUUAUUUGAAAACAAAAUGUGGAAAGUGGUAAUUUUAUGACCUAAAAUGACACACCCUUACCCAGGAUAUCCACUAAGACUCUGAAUCGAGCUGUGUUGGCCGACACCUGGAAGGUGACGAAGCCAUAUAGUGUAUUGAUGUGGAAGAUGUGAAUAAAUUUAAACCUAAAAGUGCCUAAGUACAAGAGUGCGUGGUGAGCGGAUAUGAACCUAUUUAACACGUGAUGACAAAGCAUAAGUACAGUACAGCAAAAUAGUGUGAGAAUUAUACCAUCGAUGGUAACCGUCUACCCCAAGAUUUGCCGAUAAUCUUCGUCGGUACGAAAACUUUGAUACUAGAACCUGGAGGGGCGAAAAAACAAGGAUGAGUGGGCCUGAAAAUAAAGUGUUAAGAAAAACCUUUUGAAAGCGUUAUAACCCCUCGCCGUAAAACCCGUAUAGUUUCCACAAAAUAAUACUACGUAGGUACAAAAAAUGAAUGGACAAGUGCAGUAAAAACAGAAGCAUGCCACAAUAUCUCAUCAAUAAUAGAUGUAAGCCAGGUGUGAGAUUAGUCUAAACUAACAUGCCAGUCGAAGUCACCAAAUAUGACAUGUACGACUGGACCUAUUGCUCAUCAGUCUAUGCUAGGACAUGAGUCGGAGUCACCUAGUGUGACCUGUACGAUAGGCUGGGUAUAAAUAUGUACGCUCUAGUGCUACGAUCAUGUGAAAGCUAGCACUAUGCGUGGGUCACCUACGAGUUAGAGUCGCCUGAUGCGACCUGUACGACAAGCUAGCACCUAACUUGGAUCCAAGGCGAGCAUGUGGUGUGGGAGGUGAACAAUCAUGUGAAGGCUAUGCCUUGGCCCGGAGCGGGAGCGCUAACACCGAGGUGUUGUAAUGAUGAGCUCUAAAUGAAUAUAUGCAUGCUCAUAUAAUUCAACCAUUUCAAUCACAUAAUAACUCACCAGAACUUACCUACGCCUCCGUAUGAUCAUUUGGCAUAACCAUAAAUCUCAUCACAAUGCAAUAUUUAAAUAUAACACAUUUAAAUCAUGGCAUGAUAUGCAUAAUCAUUUUAAAACAUUUCUGGAAAACGUAAGGUGUGUGUGUGUGUGUGUAUAAAUAAAGGAAAAAAAACCCACUCACCUGAGGUUCGCGCUACAACUCCCUAGCACAAAUAUCGAGGCGUCAUGAAUGAUAGGCGCCUAGAACAAUUAUCAAAUCACGUCUCAGAAUUUUUAUCAAUAGAACACGUAACUUACAUUUCCUAUUUAGGAAGAUCUGUAUGUCAUAUUCCCGAUCCGUAAGUUUCUAAUAUCCUCAAAUAUUACGUACUAUAACGUAUCAAAAUUUGGUCACAAUCCAACGGUCGGACUGUUGAUCCGUUUAUUAACCAAGUGGUGUCCCUUAACGGAAAUAUAACCAAACAACAGAAAUUUCAGAAAACGAAGGGCGAAUUCGAGUCCAACACGUCGAUGAACCUAAUGAAGGACCUCAGGUUUUUCCUCCAUGAGCCGCCGCAUCCGCGUGUGGUGGUCGAUCAUCUCGAUUCGCCGGAAAAUCCAACAACUCCAAAAAUUCCCAAAUUUUACAAGAAUGAAGAUCUCGAUGAGAGGAAUAACUUUCAUACUUAUGACUAAGGCCAAUUUGGUCGAGAAAAUCCCCAAUUUCACUAAAACCCAUCAGAAACCCUAAGUUGGGUGGCCUUCGAUUCGACUUCUUUGGUGCUCCGCCGCACCAACUAAGGCUUGGGACUUGUUCCUGGGUUCAAGAGGAGUUGACCCAUGGUGAUCGACGGAGUUUGCUUCAAGAAUGGCGGAUUGUCGCCAUGAGACCCUUGGUGCCACCGAGCGUGUUCUUCACAAAACUAGGGCAAAAAACCCAUCAAUCAUAGGUGGAAAUUGAAGAAGGAAGGCCGAAGUCAAGUUUCCAGGUGGUGAACCGGUGAAAAUCGUCGAAAAAAAUGACAAAAACCCGCCGGAUAUAGCUUCGGGUCAUGCGGGUUGACUGUGGGGAUAACCGGGCCAAUGGUGAUCUGUGCAUCCCCUCUCUCCUUUCCCCUCUUUUCUUCUCUCUCCCAUUGGUCACUUUCCUUUUCCCCUCUAUUCCUCAUUGGCCGAUUUCCUUCCCUUUUCUCUCCUUUAUUUUCCAUGUCCACCGAGCAUCACUCAUUUCCAUUAAUUUGGGCCACACACGUGGCUUUCUAGAAUUUGCUCCAAAAAUUUGGAGCAUUCCAGAAAAUAAUGAAUUUACAAUUUUACCCUCGACUUCAUUCGUUAAUAACUUCUUCGUUACAACUCCAAAUUACGUUCCGUUUGCGCCCACGCAUUCGUAGCGACGAAUACUACGAGGAUACGCCAAGAAAACGAACCUUAUGUGACAUGACAAGACGGUAAACAAAAGUCAACGACUUUGCCUCGAAGGGCGUUUUUGUAUAUUAACAUUUAAAAAUUAUAAAUACUAAAAUUUUUAGGGACUGGUCAUUAUAUAAAAUAUUAAAAAUGAAUUUAAUUGAAAAUAAUUAAAUAAAUUAGGAAAGUAAAGAAAACAAAAGAAAAUAGUUUUGAAAAGCAAUUUGAGCACUAGGGUUCCACUGUCAUCUUAACAAUCCUACAUAGUUAUUCUAAUUACUUAUGGCUUACACAUGCAUAUUAUGAAGGUUAGGUUUUCCUAAUAUAUGCCCUACUUGGAACCUCCAACAUAGAACUUAUAUCUAACAUGCAACCCGUCCGUGGUAUCCAGAUCGAAUGUGAACAUGCAAGACUCAUUAAGUUUUGUAAAAACCUUUUGAAAAACCAUAUAACCCUUAAGACGUGUCAUCCAUUCUAAGAAGUUACACAUAUAAACUACAAGAAGCCUUAGUCAAUUUCAUGGACAUCCCUCCACCAAAAUUGCAUCAAAUUACUUUUCUAAAUAUCUUAAUGGUGGUCAAUCAUCAAGACAAUUAUAUAGUUUAAACCAGUGAUUAACAAUUCAAACUUGCAUGCAUAAUAUCACAAACAAAUUGAAAAGAAACUACAUAUUCUUGCCGAGACUCGGGGCCUCGCCCUAGCAAAUGAAAUUAGUUACGAACAAUCAUAAAAUAAAAUAUUAUUAAAACAUAGAUAGAAAACACCUUGAAAAUAAACUUUAAUUCUCCAAAGUAGUUAGUUCCCUGAAGUAAUGCGUUUCUCUCUCCUAAUUGCUAAAUAGCCUUAUUUAUACUACUACAAAAUAAAACCCUACCUAGGAAAAGUCUUCUAAAAACUAGGAAACAUAAUAGAAUAAUAUAACAAGGAAAUAAAAGGUUUCACAUUUAAACUAAAAUUCGGACUGCAGGGAAAAUCCAUCUUUUGACCAACCAAAUCAACUCCGAUUUAGUCCUAAAAGGUCUCUUUUUAAAGCUUGAGACAUCCCUAACAAAUCCUUUGAAGGAAUCUUUCUCAAAAUAUGCCAUCUUAACCUUCAAAAUACCCAAAAUGUCUAGAAACAUCAAUCUGGAAAGUUGUGCGCUGGGCCUUUAUUUCUUUGCCACGGUCAACGGCAUGGUAGAAAAAUAUGAAAUUUUGAUACAAUCAUCUUGAAACACUCACGAACAUCCUCCAAUUAGAAUCACUUCAAAAUUCAUCCGUUUGAUCACUUUUUGCUUAAGAGGAAGUCGAACAUCCUACGUUAGAAAUACACAACAAAGUAUCAAAGUUCUACCAAAAUAACUAAUAAAUUAAUGCUAAGAAUAUGAUGAAAUAUAAAGUUUAAUAUUGACUCAUUAGCUAUCUAGCCCAGGAUUCCACUUUGUCAUAGACAACAUACAAGUGUUACGGAAAGGAAAAACAAAUAUGUCAAACCUAAACCACAAUAUCGAAAAACUACAAUGGAAAUAUGGAAUUAAAGCCAAAGGACAUUGUUUUCACCAAAAUCAACCAAAAAUUGAAAACCUAGAUCAUAAAACUCAAACCCAAAUGAAAUAAUUCAAUUAAGAACAUGUAUUUCAUCCCUAAAUGCGAUUGAAUAAAAGCAAAUACAAUUCUUGCAUUUUCCAAUAAAAACAUGGAAAACGAAUACAAAAACAAACAAAUAUAAGUUAGCAGACUAAUGAAGUAAUGAAAAAGCAUAUACAAAUAACAAGAUGACGAAAUUAUUUAGACGAACACGCAAUGAGCAAAUUAAAUACUGACUUACUAAUAAUCCAGAUCACUAUCGUCAUCAGUAGUACUACUUAAACUAUCAGCACCAUAUGUACUAUUUUCCUUAUUGCUUAUGUAGUCAUCAGUAUCUGUACUACUUUCUUCAUUAUAAUUGUUUAUUUUCAUCAAUUCUAGGAAGAGACCCAAGAUCUAUAGUUAUGGAGUCGAUCUCAUCCUCAACUAGAGGAACGUUUUCCAAGUAGUACGGAGUAGUUUCUUCAUUAUGUUGUACAUGUGCCAUAUUGGGAAUGUCUGAUGAAGAGUUCUCUUGGUAUAUCACAUCAUCAUCACUACUAUCACCCUCGGAGUCAUCGUUUCGGAAUAUCCCACACAUUUGUUCUUGUGUGGAUCCAGUCAUGUUUGUAACUUGAUUCCGCGAGCUUCCCAUAGACGGGGCCAACUGUUGGAGCGAAAUUUCCUACAUGAAGAAAUGCUUCCAUUGAUCUGUUAACCGUAAUCCUCACGUUUGCCAAAUCCCUCGUAAAAGGCGUCCAUGAAUGAUCUUUCUCUGAAGCCUCAUUUAGGUGGGGGGUACCUGCAAGAGAUACUCUAACGCUCAAGUUAAUCAAUUGAAUUUAUGUUCUCUAGUCAAGGGUUUUGAUUGCGUACCUUAUUCUUUUACUCAUCUCCCUAUUUAUAGGACUAUGAUGCUUGGAGAACAAGUACCACGACAUGUCCCUCACUCCCUCUUCCUUAGUGGUUCUCUGUAGUGGAGGUAGUUAUCUAGCUACCUUCUUCUUCCUUUUUCUGAGCUCUUCGUGCAACGUCUAACACAUUUUCCUUCCCAUGCGUGAGUGAGGAGCGAGUAAGGAAUCAACAUGUUUUUUGGGAAUGAGGUUUAGUAAAUUUCGAGGGCGAAAUUUCUUUAAGUAGGGUAGAUUGUGAGAUCCCAUAUUUUUAAAGUCUAUUUAGGUAUUAUUACUAUAGCAUGAUUUUAUUCCUAUCCAACUCUUAGCUGACGUGGAUUACCAUUCAUCCUAUUUAUAUCUACGUGGCUAGCUAUCAUUUUUACCAAUCCAAAUGGCUAUAGGAAAGAAGAAUUAUGUGCUUAGAGGGCACGUAUAUAUGCUGACUAAGCUUAUUAUAGCUAAUUUGGAAUUGACAACAUAAAGCUGGAGGUGGCUUGAAAUUUCAUACAAUGGACAUAUGUGCGUGUGACUCAUGGAGUUUUAGUAGCAGCUGUUGACUUCAGGGUUUUGGUUACCUAAUUGGUUCCAAAGUUAUAAGUGCCGCCCAUUUGAGCGAAUAAGGAUUGAUUUAGCCGCCAUAUAUCUCCUAUAAAUAGGAGCCUUGCUCCAUUAUCUUUGGAAAAAAAAUGUAGCAUGCAAAGUGUAAGGGCUCACGUAGAGAGAAAGAGAAAUAAAAGAAAGAGUUAGCUAGGGUUUGAUAUUUGCAGAUUAGUAUGAUAAUCGAGGUGAUUAGUUAGCUAGGGUUUGAUAUUUGCAGAUUAGUAUGAUAAUCGAGGUGAUUAGUCUAUGUAAUGUGUUUAAAAUAUUCUUAUUUUUUUUAUAAAUGAAAACCAUAAGUUAUCGUGGGAUUUAUCUAUUUCCAAAUAUCUCUAUAUUUCAAGUCAAGCAUGUUGGAUUUGUUGAAAAAUUUACAGCGCUAUAUAUAUAUAUAGGAAAAAUUAGUAUCCGGUCCCUAGUUUUUACUGUUCAUUGACUAACACCUUAUUAGUUCUCAAAUUUUGAUUCAAGUCCCUAGCAUUAAUGUGAUAGUGAAUUUACAUGUUUAUUAUAUAAUUUUUUUAAUAUAAAAAUUAGUAAUUAAUUUAGGGUUUAAUACUCACACCUCUAUUAAACUUCUAAUUAAUUUUCAAUUCAAACAUUUCCAAAAUAAUAAAAAAUUAAAUUAAAUUAAGUUUGUACCUAUUAGUUUUUUUUAUAUAUAAAAAGAUUCUCAAUUUUUUAAUCUUAAAUUUACCCAUUCAUAUAAUUUUUCAAUUUUUUUAAUCUUAAAUGUACUCAUUCUCAAAUAUAUCAAUUUGUUAUAUGUAAAAUGUACCCUUUUUUAAUAUAAAAUCCAUUCAAAUUUUUUAAUCCAUGUUUAAACUUAUAUGGGUACAUUCUUUUUCGUUGAUUUGAGAAUGUAUCCAUGUUUUGGUACAAUAACUUUUUUUGUUAAUUUUGGUUAAUGUACCCAUACAUAUAUGUAUAUAUACACACACACACACACACAAUAUAAUAGAGAGAAUAAUUUAUAUUUUAUUAUUUUUAAUCCCAUAAAUUAUGGGUUUUAUUUAAAAUAUCAUUAAUACAAACAAUUACAAAUUUCAAUUUUUAAUUUUUAAUUAAAAAAAUAUAGUAACUUACAUUAUUACAUUAAUAUCAGGGACCUCAAUCAAAAAUUAAAAACUAACAAGGUUUCAAUCAAAGAAUAUUGAUAGCUAGGGACCGCAUCCAAAGUGUCCCAUAUAUAUAUAUAGAUACCAAAUGAUACGCGGAAGUCAAAAUGACAAUGGAUAGCAAAAUAUAACCAUAAUUAGUGAUAAUUGAAUUUACCUUAAUGUUGAGAUGCCCAAUGGGAAUUGAUAUUAUAAUGAUAACUGAAGCCAAAAUGGUUAUGAUCAAGAGAGUAAUAAUAAAGAUAAAUGAACCAAUGGUUUUUAUAAUUAAAUUCUUUUCAUAAUUAACUUCAAUGAAAAUAUUAUCCAUAAUGAAAAUAAUGAAUUUAAAUUAAUGAUGCUUUUAGAUAUUUGAAAACAAUUUUACUUCAAAUCGGAAACCGACUUACAAUUCCGUCUACUGAUGAUUGAUGAGAAAAACAGUGGUGCUCGCAGGCAUCCUUGAUUCAAAUGUAAAUUACAAGUGUUUGAUAUUUUUGGUGGAUGGGGCUGAACUAUGACUUUUGUUCUUCAGAGAAUUUGCAAAAGUCUCAGUUGUUCGACAAGAGUCCCCUUCUUCUGUGAAUGAACUCUUCUUUUGUUGGAAGAGGUGAGAUAAUUGAGAUUCGAGAAUCCCGCUGUUGAAUGCUUUCUGCAUGUGCUAAAGGCUGUAAAGGCUGGCGAAUGAUGAUGCUUAUCCUGUGUAGGCACGUUGAUGCUGGCUGAAAUGAUGGAUGAAUAGUAAAAAGUGAUUUUUACUAUUCAUGAAUAGUUUUUUGUCGGAAUGAUUGCUGCUGAUGCUGCUUUCACUGUGAAAAUCACAUGGCUUCUACUGUGCGAUUUACAUGGGUAAAAACUUAAAAUGAUUACAAAUCAUUACAUUUUGAAUUAUUACAAAUCAAACAGGUCUUAGGCAUCUUGGUAAUCUGCCCACUUGGUUGGUUGAGACGAAGCGUCUGAUGAGUCAGAAUUGGGUUCUUCAUCCUCACUGUCACUUUCUAGUAAGGCUGCUUUUGCUAUGAGCUUAUCCGCCAUUUUCAAAAGUUGUGAAGAUUUCCCUUUCUUCUUUGAACUUGAAGUUUUGAAGGACAUGGAUGACUUUGGUUGUUUUUCUUUUAAGGAUGAUGAGGGACUAAUGUCCGAUAGAGACUGGGUAUUUUCUGGGAUUUCUGGCAAUGCCUGUGUUGAUGUUGCUGGUGGAGAAACCAUUGGAACAGGUUCAGAUGGAAAUUCUAAUGAGACUAGGCUGAUUAUUUUUCCUUAGUCGAAUUUGUCCCACCAUUUAACCCAUCAGGCUCUGUAAAUUUGACAUGUUUCAUAUUCAUAGUUCCAUUUAAAAAUUCAAGAGACCUUAUAUUUUUCCAUAAAUAACGAAAUAAGAGUGGUUCUGUCGUCGAAACGAUUUCGUUUAAAUUUUAUGACUAUUUGAACUAAGCCUAUGUGAAUAUAGUUAUGACCAUCUUUCCUAUGGGAUUUAAUUUAUUCUGGAGAAAACAGCUGACAAGUCUCAUGUUCUUUGCUAAGAGCAUAAGCCUUUUCGAUUGUCUUGACAUGAUGUUCACUUCUAAAUGAGGCUACUGACCAUUUCUUUUUGUAAAUAUUUUUACUUGAAACCUUGGGGAUAUUCCAAUCUCCAAAGUCAACACUUUCAUUGGUUUGAAAAUCAAGUUUUUGUUCUUCAUUAACAAUGUCAGGUAUAACGCUUAAACUGGAUCUAGAGCUAGUGUUGGCCAUUGAAUUAGAUCUAAAUAUCAACUCAUAGGGCUAUGAUGUAUAUAUGGUGAUGUGUGGAUUAUUUGGAAAUGUUCAUGGAGCAUGAGAACUUUGGUGUUGCAUUAUUCUAAGGGAUGAAUGAAAACUACACACGGGGACAUUAGGGCAGAAUAGCCAUUAGGGGUCACAUGGUGAGUUACAAUUAACGAAGGAUAUAAUGAGCACGUAAAGGGGUGAUGUGAUAUGGAAUUAUGUGGCUAAAGCUUUGAUAUUAUUAUUAUAUUUUCUAGAGUGACUAAAACGACAUCGCUUGACUGGCAUAUUACGAUUCUACUCACUGAGUGACAGUGGUUGUUGCUCACCCUUCACCUUUAAUAUUUUUUAGAUGAGUUAUUUGGCAAGACAGGUGCUAAACAAGCUGAGAUUGUGUUAGAUGAAAGAUUUAAGGAUUUUGAUUUAUUACUCUGUAGGGAUUUUGGAGUUAUUUGUAUUAGAAAAGUUUGUUUUUCCGUUUAUUUUUACUUUUCGUCGCACAAGGUGCGGGAUUUAUUUUUCCAUUGAUGCUGGGUCCGGGGGCAUGACAUUUACCUUUGUGCAAUCUUGCUUUACACGAGAUGAACUCAUUAGGUCUUCACGAAGUGGUAGCUCCUCCUGAGCUUUUCACCUUGUGGCACCAAAAAUCUAAUCAACUUAUGCAAAUGAUGUUAUGACGAAGUUGAUGCAAAUGAUGAUUUGAUGUCUAGUCAGUUUCACCAGUCAAACACUUGAAAGAUGAAAUUGACGCGAAUCCAAAAUGAGGUCAACUCAAAGAUUUGAAACUAGAGAAACUUGACCUAAAACAAAGAUCAAAAUCACAAAAACAAUGCAGCCCUAAUAUUCAAUGACCUGGGUAUUUAGUGCGUGAAUGUGAUUUUGUGGUUAGGGUUUUCUAGUAAGAAAACAAAGGAGCAGCUCCCAGCUAAAAACAAUCCAUCUAAAAAAUAAAUCACCUAGCUAAUCUGAAAUGAAACACUAGAUUGUGCUUUUAUAGUGGGAUGAUGUUUCAGACAAAGAGAGGGGAUGGAAAGGCCACUUGCGUCAUGUGCAAAAGCAAUUAGAAAAGAUCUGGGGUUGAGAAGCACCCUAUGGGGAAAAACUGUCAGAAAGCCAUGUGGGUUGUCUUAAAGUGUGUACCCAGCUCGCGUGAAAGCAGCGAGAAUAUUUGACUAGACAGAAUGUACUGAAAAUAACGCAUGAAAUGCAUAAGUAUGAACAAAGCCUUGAUGAGAGAAAUUAAGCUCUUUAAAUAAUAUUUCCAGCAGCAUAAUCCCAGAGAAGCAAUUAAACCCUAAAUCUAACUAGAGUAUGUGUGGUACAAUUUACAGCAUUUGACAAGGGAAGCCAAACAAUAAAAACUAGACUUCACAAUCUCCCCAUUUGGCUUUCCUUGACAAAAUAAGCCAAACUCUAUAACUAAAAACACUCAACCUCACUCAAGAGAACACAAAGGACGAAUCCUGCAAAGAAGUACUCUUGACAAAGAACAAGUGAAAAGUUAUCAUGGUUAAAACAAUUGCAAGGAAGUAAAUUGUUUAGCAUUGUAUAUGAUUGCAACACAACACAAUUUUAUGAAAUUUUAAUUUUCUCCCCCAUUUUGUCCUGGAAAAGACAAAAGAUGUAAAAUGAAUGAUAUGCCAUUUUCAUGAAACAAAAUAAAUGGAUAUGUCAAUUAAGCUUAUCAAAUAAAUAUCCAACGACCAACAAAGUAAUAAGAACCAACAACAAAGACAUAGCUUAACAAAGCAAGUUAAGUACAAUGUACAAUUCUCGGUACCAAAAUAUUAAAUCCAAAGGAGCAUGUUAAUGCAAUUUGUUCAAAUCACUCAUUUGUUUAGGAUUACGAACAGUAGCUAAGUCGAGAGUAGCACAAUGAGACACAACAAAACAAAGUUUCAAUUACAAAGAAAAUACCAUUGUUCAAAUAACCAACAAAUAAAUUGAACUCUCCCAAAACACAUGCUCUCCUAACGUCCUACAUUCACAACCUACACUCCCCAUAAGCUCACUCCCCCAUAAUCUAAAAUUCCUCAUAAUGAGAUGAUGUGUCCGAACGUAGAGGAGAUCCAGAGGCAUCAGUUUGAGCAACCACAUCUUCAGGUGUAGCAUUAUUAUCUUCAUCCUCAUCAUCAGAGUACAUGAACCUGAUAUGCUUGGCCUUGGGAACCAGAGGAUAAUGCAGGAGUUGAUCACCAUGUAAAAAGAAUCAUUUCCUUUUUUCAGCAUAAAUAGCUGCCAUUUUAGCUGCCACAACACCAGAGUGACCAGACAAACUAGCAACAAAAUACGAGGAAUAUGGUGAUGCCACAGGACGAUGGGGAACCAACUUUGGAGAACGCAAAAAUUGUUCAGGUACAAAAAAUGAUGAGUUUAAAGAGGAUUGACUCAAUGAUUGGGUAGGAAGGGAACAACUUAUGUGAGGAGAAUACACCAUUUAACCCAUUGAAGAUUGAAACAACACAAAUUGUUUUCGAAUAAAAUUAACCACAGACUUAAGGUGGGCAAUCUUUCUUUCCUGAAAUGCAUUAGGAGGAGGAGGCGGACAAGGAUCACCAUGAGCAAUGGUAGACAUCAUGUUGCUCAGGUUCAUGAGACCUUUAUCCAAUUCCUUGGUGGGCCUAAGAUAGACAUCACUUGGAUGAAAUGAGACACCAGCACGCUGACAGAUAAGAGUUAUGAGACAAUGAUGAACAGUGGAACCACGCUGUUGUUUGCCUAGAUGCUUAGUCUUAGACAUGAUUGAACAGAAAUCGAGAACCCAAAUGACACAUCGGAAAGACUCAUCAUAACAUAGAAAACCCUAGCAGCUUCUAAAGUAGGAUUUCUAUUGUUUGAAGAUCCUAGAAAAUUUAUACGCAGACAAACUGACCACAAUCUAUAGAAAUGUUGAAGGCUAGACUUUGACACUUGAUUCUUAACUAGAGGUAUGGAAGAGUCUAAGUAAGCUUGAUGGUGGUAGACAUGAAUAUCAUAAUGACAGGUGAUUAAAUUAAAGGAAUGCAUGUUGGAUGCGUUGGAGAGGUCUAAACCUAGGAUAUCACAGAUGACAUUGGAAUCAAAAGGAACAUAGACACCACGGACAUACACUUCACCGCCAUAAUCUGAAAAUUUGGAUCCAUCAGAAAUAUAUUCAAGCAAACAUUCUCUCUCUCUUGAGAGUCUUUCUCACCUCUCUAUGUGAGUUUUUUCAUUGUUGCUUCUUCUUCCUAGCUGCCGGCCUGAGCUCCGACAAAGGUCGGUAACAAUCAUCUACUUUUUUUCCUUAUUUUUUUCGUUUCUUUCUGCUUCAAUUUUCCACUGCUUACUUUUCCUUUUCGCCUUGCUCUUCCACCCUUUCUUUGCUUUCGAUCUACUCUCACCUCUAUUCUUCUUCCAUUUCCAUGGCUCUCAUUUAUCCCUCUUACUCUAUUUUUCCAUUUUCUUCCAGUCCCACUCUGUGUUGGCUCCAUCCCUUCUCCCUGCUUUGUCUUUUCUGAUUUGCAAUCUUCUUUCUUCACAGCACUUUGCUGUGGUUUCUUUGGAAGGUGAGUAGAGUUUUUACUCGGGUGUACACACAACCACCUUAUAUUUGCUUGCCUUUAUUGGCACUGUCGUCGGUGGGUUCUCCAUUGGCUUCUUUCAUAUUCUGGUUGCGAUCAGCAUGGGGGGUUGUUGCAGGUUGUUAGAGCCACCUUCUUCUUAGUUUUUGGGAGGUGGAUGCUUGACGGCUGUACGGGGCGUUGGUUUACACUAGCGAUGAUGCUCUAUGAAGGCAGUGGCGGCGUCUGUAGAAGGCUAGGGUGCUUUGUUUGUGUUGUGUUAGUUUUUGGGCUCCAACUUGUGUGUUGGGCCUUGUGUUGUGUAUCAUUGGGUUCUUUUGUUUUUGGUUGUGUUUUACUUGUUUUGGACUUCUUGUAUUUAAUUGUUUGUUGGUAAUAAAUCUCGCACCUUUUUUCCAAAAAAAUAAAAAAUAAAAAAGCAAACAUUCUGAGUCGCCCUUUUUAAGAAUCUCGAUGCGCUUUUUCAUUAUCAAAUUGUUACAUUAGACUGAAUAAAAUUUAGUUUUUGAGACCUUUCUGCUUAUGUGGUAAAGUAUGAGAAGAUUCGAGAUGGCUGUAGUCUUGCAUAAUGCAUUUGAUCUAUCAAUUUUGCUUGAGAAGGCUCUAUUACUCGUUGUGACCUUAAUAAAUGGGAACUUGAUGCCGGAACAAGAACAUGACUAUGUUCAGCAACAAAAUUUGUCACAACAAUCUUCCUUUCUAAAUUAAGAUUGAUUUCAAGCAUUGCCUUGCAGUCACAUCUUGUUUCUUCUUCUUCUUCUUUUUUAUUUAUUUAUUUUUAUUUUAUAAAAACCUUCACAAGAACAACAAAAUUGUUUUUCCUAUAGCACACAUGACCUGUCCUUAUUCUCUCUGUUCUUUCUAACUCUAAAUCCAACCCUUCUACCAUAUGCAUUGUAGUAAUUAUAUGCAUCAUCCUCAUUAUCAAAAGUCAUCCCCAGAGAAAUAUCACCAACUUUGCUUGUAAAUUCUCCUUUUUCUUCAUUUUGAUCCAAGACGUCAAAUGUUUCGGAAUCUGAAUCUGAAUCUAAGUGUAUACAAUCAACUUAUUCUUUGGCAUCACUGGAAGAUGGAGUAUGAAACUAAUCAUCUUGACGUUCCAUCUGUGUAAGUAUCAAAUUACUUAGUAUUAAAUUAAAUUAACACCCUAUAAUAAUCCUAAAAAGCAUAUAUAUUGACACCCUAUAAUAAUCAUAAAAAGCAUAUAUUUUGACACCCUAUAAUAAUCCUAAGAAAAGCAUAUAUAUUAACAUCCUAUAAUCCAUGAUGGAACAUAAUUUAAAGUAUUUAUGAUGAAGAUGAAGAUGUAGACUCUGGGUAGUACUAUCCCGUCAGGUUACACCACCACCGCCUCAUCCUUAACACGAAAUGGGUGUUCAAUGCCCAUCCUUACAUAUAAUAAUCCUAAAAAGCAAAUAAAUGGGUAUUGCAUACCUUUUUCUAGUCAGAGAAAAAUAGCAGAUGGAGAACCCUGAAGAUGCGUGCGCAGAGUUGAGUCUGUUUGUAUUCAUAAAAUGGAGUUUAAAGUUUUAAUAAAAUAUUUAGAAAGAAAGGAUAUAUAUGGAAGUAAAUAAGUAAAAGUAGGAUUCUCUCAUUCAUUAAUUAAAACAAAAAAUAAGGCUUAACUAGAGUUAGUGUGAAUUACACAUGACAAACAUUGAAAGGGGUGGUGAGCAUACCCUAUUGUUAGUAUGGGUGAACAAAAAUGCACCCUAACUUAAAUGAUGAGGAAGAUUUAUUCUUCAAAAAGUUUCCUGGCCGUUCAUAAAAUUUCAUAUUUUUAUAUUAUAACUUAUUUCAUAAAAUUUAUUUUUUUAAAAAUUAUUAAUGAAAUAUGAGAUAUUUUGUCAUCAUUAAUAAAGUAUGAGAUAUUUUGUUAUUGAACUGUAAAAUAUAAGGAAAAUUAAUGAAAAGGGCUUGAAAAAUUUGAGUUUUAAUGAUAAGGACAAAAUAAAGGGUAAAGUGAAUAGUACCAUGAUUGACUUUUUAGUGUAAAAAUGUGAUUUUUCGUUAAAGUGAAUAGUAACAGGUGCUUUUCGUUAAAGUUCCUUAAAAUAUAUUAUGAAAACUGAUGAAAAAUAAUAUUUUUUAUCUAUUUAUUAUAAAUGAAAAGAAAGUAAAAAAGCCAGCAGGUUUGAAUUUUCUAUUGUAAUGUUGUCACGUGGCUUUAUUAGCAUCUUGCAAUUCUUUUGAAAAAAAACCCCCACUGCGGCCCGCCCCUUUCGAAGAGGAUCCUCUUCGGAUUCUCUUUGUAAGGAUCUAAGAGUUCAAUUAAUAAUGUUUGUUUAUUGUACAUCGUGCGAUUAGAAAUUAUUUUAAAUUUAAGAUUUAAAAUUGAAUAUAAAUAACACUUAACAAAAAUUGACCGCACAAUGUAUAAUACACGGACACGAUUGAUUAAUUAUCUGAAUUCCUACAAAUAUAUCCGGAGAGAAUCCUUGUCCCACCCGCUUUUCCCCCAUAAGCCUAUUUUAAGGUGGUUAUGAUAUGAUUGUUUUUGUUGGUAACUUAAAUGAUGAGGAAGAUUUAUUCUUCAAAAAGUUUCCUGGCCGUUCAUAAAAUUUCAUAUUUUUAUAUUAUAACUUAUUUCAUAAAAUUUAUUUUUUGAAAAAUUAUUAAUGAAAUAUGAGAUAUUUUGUCAUCAUUAAUAAAAUAUGAGAUAUUUUUUUAUUGAACUGUAAAAUAUAUUAUAAUAAUUGAUGAAAGAUAAUAUAAUUUUUUAUCUAUUUAUUAUAAUUGAUUAUUGACUACAUUAUUUUUUUUAAUUUAUUUGCAACAAAGAUGAGACAAUGAUUUACAAUAUUAACGGUUCGACACAAAUAUGAAUUUCUGUAAACGCUCAUGAAGCAUUUUAAGGUAUAAUUUCUCCUCAUUUUUUGAGUGUCCAAGAAUUAUUUUACAUAUAUUGUUGUUGUUUCUUAAUCUUUCUUUGAAGAUCAUCUUUACAAAAAAAAAAUUAAAUAAAUAAAAAAUCAUUUGACUCCGAUUUUUUUCAGUCAUCCAAAUGUAUGGAACAUAACGUAAGUGUAGAUAACAUUAAGUAACAUAUUAUGAUGAACUGCCCAUUUAUUUAAUACACAUUUUUCAAUUUGAAUGAUUAUUUUUAUAAAUAUAAUUUUUUUUAAAUGAUUAAAAUUUUGAAGUGUUUAAAUUUAUAAUAUGAAAAUACUUUAUCCGUGAAGGAUAGAGGCACGCAUGGUAUUGUUAAGAGCAGUGGCAAUUCUUUUCUGUUACGGGCACCCUGAUAUUCUCCACGUUUUUAGUUAGUUGUUGUGUAGCUAAAAUUGUCCAUGUUUGUAUUGAUAUUAUGGUCCUGCUUUCCUUUGACAAGGAUAAAAAGGUUGUCUAAAAACUUCUGUAUGCAACUCCUCCACGUCAAAUAAGCAAUCGAGUAUUUUUAAACAAAAAUGAAAAGGAUAACCAUCGAAUAUCUCUUGUUGCCAGCAUCAUCAAUAAUUCAUCACUCACGAAAUGCAAGUGGUUAAAUUACUCAUAGAGAUUUGACCCACACGGUUCAGUUGACAUUGACACAACCUGAUCAUGAUCUCCAUGUCUAUGAUGAUGAAGACGAUAAUACAUCGUAAAUGGUUUCGUUUCAGUUAUGUAGUGUAGUGGAGGGGAGAAUUAUAGCUCCCUUGGCCUUUUCUUGGACAUCAUGUGGCCCUGUCAGUGGUGUAUAUUCAUUUGCCUCUACCUCUCUAUCUCUUAUGAAGACACAAACUCUUUUUGAUGUAGAGCAAAUGGCAUAAUGGAUUAAAGAUCGAUGGAACGUUAGAAGACAAAAUGAUGCAAUGGAAAUUUGUCUUUUUAGCGUCCAAGCUCGGGCUCGUGAUACCUUUUCGAAAAGAAAACGACCUCAUGGGUCAAACUCAUCACUUUGCCAUGAUGUACAAUAGAUUUUGACCAUUCGGGGUUGUUUAGACUUUUCGUUUGUCAUCCGAAUUUAUUUUAUUAGUCUCUUGAGUUGUCCCAACAAUUAUAUUAUGUUUAUUUAAUUGAUUUGGCUAUUCGUAAGCAUCAAUUUAGAAUUAAACAACUAUUCAUUUGUAAGCAUCAAUUCAGAACUGGGGUUAAAUUUAAGAGCUCGUUAAGCUUUUGUCAUUCUAGAAGCAUGAUAAAAAGUACAAUUGGAGAUGAAUUUUUCAACUUCCUUCUAAAUUUUAGUUAAAAGCACAUAUAGGGAGCCCAUUAAAGAUGUUCUAAAUAUUCAGAGAAAUGCUAAGGAGACUCUCAUAAAAAUAAAACUCUCCAUGAAUUUUCUACAACCUCAUGUUUUUUGUUCAAUAUUAUAUAAAGUAAUGAUAUAGAGAUUAAAUUUGCAAACUAAAUGAUAUGUUAUCAAUAGGAAUAAGCACGUUUAUCAAUGUUUAAGUAAUAAACCACUUAUCAACUUUCAUUUCCUUUAGUUUUCAAAAUUUUAUUUUCAAAUUUAAUCUCCUUAAUAUUAUCCUUUUUUAUAAUGUUGAUAUAAAAAUUAAUAUAAAAUUGUAAGAUAACAUAUAGUUUAUAAAAAGCUUUAAUUUAAGAGUCCCACUUUGAUGUAAAAUUGACGUAAACCUGUAUUGCAGCUCCCCAUUUUGUCGAACAACGUUACACGGCUCCCCUUGAAAGCAAAGUUUCAAGGGUAUUAAUUAACACCGACAAGGAAACUAAUUAUAUAAAACGCAUCGUUUUCUGGGGCCACGGUCUGCUGUCUUCUGAUUCUGAUUGCAUUUAGUUUUGUGUCUGAAUUAACAUUGACAACACAAAACGCAUUGUUUAUUUGGGGCCAAGGCCUGCCGUCUUCUGAUUGCAUUUAUUUUUGUCCCUUUAGGAAUUUUUUGACAAUUGACCCUCCAGUCUUUCUAAAAUUAACACUGUUAACUAUUAUAUAUUUACUAAUUAUAAAAAUUUAAGAAAAAUAAAAACAACACAAUCAAAUAAACACCGGACAACAACCUACGACAACCACCCCAGUCAUCGCCAAAGCUUAUCCUCACCCCCGGCAAAGUUCCUUUUGCUUUUUCUCUCUCUCCUCGAUUUCUAUUGUAUAUCAGAAAGUCAGAAAGCCAGCCGUCAGGUUUGAAUUUUGUAUUGUAAUGUUGUGGCGUGGCUUUAUUAGCAUCUUGCAUUUCUUUUGAAAAAGAACCCCACUACGGCCCGCCCCUUUGGAAUAGGAUCCUCUUCGGAUUCUUUUUGUAGGAAUCUCAAAGUUCAAUCAAUUAUAUCUAUUUAUCGUAUAUCAUGUAAUUAAAAAUUAUUUAAAAUUUAAAAUUGAAUAUAAAUAAUACCUAACAAAAAUUGACAGUACAAUAUAUACGAUUAACACAAAUAUAAUUGAUUAAUUGUCCAAAUUUCUACAAAGAUGAUCCGGAAAAUAUCUUUGUCCCUCCCGCCGCUUUUCCCCCAUAAGCCUUUUUUAAGGUGGUUAUGAUAUGAUUGUUUUUGUUGGUAACUUAAAUGGUGAGGAAGAUUUAUUCUUCAAAAAGUUUCCUGGCCGUUCAUAAAAUUUCAUAUUUUUAUAUUAUACUUAAUUCAUAAAAUUUAUUUUUUGAAAAAUUAUUAAUGAAAUAUGAGAUAUUUUGUCAUCAUUAAUAAAAUAUGAGAUAUUUGUUAUUGAAUUCUAAAAUAUAUUAUGAAAAUUGAUGAAAAAAUAUAUAUUUUUUAUCUAUUUAUUAUAAUUUAUUAUUGACCACAUUUUUUUUUUAAAUUUAUUUGCAACAAAGAUGAGUGAUUUACAAUAUUAAUGGUUCGACACAAAUACAAUUUCUGUAAACGCUCAUGAAGCAUUUUAAGGUAGAAUUUCUCCUCAUUUUUUGAGUGUCCAAUAAUUAUUUUACAUAUACUGUUGUUGUUUCUUAAUCUUUCUUCGAAGAUCAUCUUUACAAAAAAAUUAAAAAAAAUCAUUUGACUUUGAUUUUUUUUCAAUCCAAAUAUAUGGAACAUAACGUAAGUGUAGAUAACAUUAAGUAACAUAUUAUGAUGAAUUGCCUAUUUAUUUAAUACACAUUUUUCAAUUUGAAUGAUUAUUUUUAUAAAUAUAAUUUUUAAAUAAUUAUUAAAAUUUUAAAGUGUUUAAAUUUAUAACAUGAAAAUACCUUAUUCGUGAAGGAUAGAGGCACGCAUGGUACUGUCAAGAGCAGUGACAAUUCUUUUCUGUUACGGGCACCAUGAUAUUCUCCAUGUCUUUAGUUAGUUGUUGUGUAGCUAAAAUUGUCCAUGUUUGUAUUGAUAUUUUGGUCCUGCUUUCCCUUGACAAGGAUAAAAAGGUUGUCUAAAAAUUUCUGUUUACAACUCCUCCACGUCAAAUAAGCAAUCGAGUAUUUUUAAACAAAAAUGAAAAGGAUCACCAUCGAAUAUUUCCAGUUUCAUCAAUAAUUCAUCACUCACGAAAUGCAAGUGGUUAAAUUACUCACAGAAAUUCGACCCACACGGUUCAAUUGACAUUGACACAAACUGAUCAUGAUCUCUAUGUCUAUGAUGAUGAAGAUUAGGGAUGGGCAAUGGUUGUGCGGAUGGGUAACCGCGGUUAAUUUACCCAUAACUGUUUAUACUUAUACCCGCAUAACCGUUUAUCCGUUGGGUAAUUGCCUAAACGGUUAUACCCAUACCCAUAACUGUUUAUAAACGGUUAACCAUACUCAUAACUGCAUACCCAUUUAACUGUAACCGUUUAAUACCCGUUUACCCAUUUAUCAUUUUUAACCCGUUUAUCUUUUUUUUUUAUCAUUACCCUUUUUUCAACCGUCUACAUGUUUUUUAACAACUUGAAAAUUAAAAAAAAAUUGUCAUAAUUUUUUUUUUGACAAUUAAACACCGUUAUAGGUACAUUCAUCAUAUAUUUUUAUAUUUUAAUUUUUUAAGUCCUUAUACCAUUCCAAUAAUUGAAAUAAUAGUUUACGGACGAUAUUUUUAACUGUUACCAAUGAAGGUAAAUAUAAUAUUUGCUAAGUAUUAUUGGGUUACAAAAAUUGUUUAGAAGACAUUUUUGUCAAAGCAUUUCUGUCAAUUUCACGGUUACCCGCAAGAAAUUUAAAUUAAUUUGGCCAAUUCCUUGAUGAUGAGAAUCAUCAUUCCUGUAGUAGUGGUAUUGACAGAAUGAUCGAUGAAUUCCUUGCUAAUUUAUUGGGUGCUAAGAAUUAUUGGAUCGAGAACAUGCUUUGUGUUAGUUUUACAUAUAUAAAAUAAAUGGGUAAACGGUUACCCGUUUAUAACCGUGAUUAAUACCCAUAACCGCCCAUUUAAAUUUCGUGGGUAAACGGUUAUACCCAUAACCAUUUAUUUAUCUAAACGGUUAUCCAUAACCAUAACCGUUUAAUUUAAAUAGGCGGGUAACCGCGGUUAUCCAUAACUAAUGGGUAUUUGCUCAUCCCUAAUGAAGACGAUAAUACAUCGUAAAUGGUUUCGUUUCAGUUAUGGUGUGGAGGGGAGAACUAUAGCUCCCUUGGCCUUUUCUUGGACAUCAUGUGGCCCUGUCAAUGGUGCAUAUUCAUUUGCCUCUGCCUCUCUAUCUCUUAUGAAUAUACAAACUCUUUUUAAUGUAGAACAAAUGACAUAAUGGAUCAAGGAUUGAUAAAACGUCAGAGAUAAAAGGAUGCAAUGGGAAUUUAUCUUUUUAGCGUCCAAGUUCGGGCUCGUGAUACAUUUUUGGAAAGAAAAUUUUAUCUUUAAAUUUAAUUUCCUUAACGUAACCCUUUUUUAUAAUGUUGAUAUAAAAAUUAAUAUAAAAUUAUAAGAUAACAGAUGGUUUAUAAAAAGCUUUACUUUAAGAGUCCCACUGAUGUAAAAUUGACGUAAACCUGUAUUGCAGCUCCCCAUUUUGUCGAACAACGUUACACAGCUCCCCUUGAAAGCAAAGUUUCAACGGUAUUAAUUAACACCGACAAGGAAACUAAUUAUAUAAAACGCAUCGUUUCUGGGGCCAAGGUCUGCUUCCGUCUGAUUGCAUUUGGUUUUGUGUCUCUGUAAGAAUUAACAUUGACAACACAAACGCGUUGUUUUUUGGGCCAAGGUCUACUGUCUUCUGAUUGCAUUUAUUUUGUCUCUUUAGGAAUUUUUUGACAUUUGACCGUGGUUCUAAAAUUAACACUGUUAACUAUUAUAUAUUUACUAAUUAUAAAAAUUAAAGAAAAAUAAAAACAACACAGUCAAAUAAACACCGGACAACAAUCUACUACAACCACCCCAGUCACCGCCGAAGCUCAUCCUCACCGCCGGCUAAGUUCCUUUCCUUUUUCUCUCUUUCCUCGAUUUCUUUCUCUCUUGAAUUCUCGCACUAGAUUGUGGAGUUGGAAAUUUGAGAAUGGAAGAUAUAGUGAAGAAUUCGAUAGAGAAAGAUCUCGAGGAGAGAGAUAGAGAAGGAACUUUGCGGUCGGCGAGGAUGAGCUUCAGCAGUGACUGAAGUGGUUGGAAUCUUUCCUAAGCGGCAACAACGCAAAUACGCCCAUAUCUUGUUGUUUCAUUUUGUGAAACAGUAUCAGUGAAAUGUUUUGCUGAAACACCCAAUAAGAGGAACAAAAUAACUAUGAUUGCAGAGCCGUGCUGGAAAGAGGACUUGUGGAGGACAUUGAGAAUGGUGUUGUAAGCCUUAAUUGGUUUGGAGGAUGCAUGUGAAUUUGAACCGUUCCUAAGCGACAACGAGGAAUGCAAAUACGACUUCGCCGACGAACUUUGUUUUCAUCUAAUUAAAAGUAAAUAUGGGCAAUGAUUUGUUCAUAUUCAGACCUUGAUUUUCAUCUUAUUAUUCCUUUGUGUCUCUUCUCGACAGUUUUUGGUUGUUGCGAUUCAGCCUUACACAUUUUUGGCUCAUGAGUUUUUUUAUCCAAGUCUGCGAUUCAGUUUUCUUUGCUUUUUGUUGUUGGGUAGUUGCCACUUUGAUACUACGUUAUAGUGAUAUUUAGUAGGUGAGAGGUCUUAUGAUCGAUUUUUACUAAAGAUGAAUUUGAACAAUAUUAUUACUAGCCCAGUAUGAUGCUAACCCCACCCUCCCUAAAUAAUAUCGUUUGAUGGCCACUUUAUUGUAUAAAUACAUAGCCGAUCAUGCAAAAUUGAUGAAAGUUAUAUCAAGAUGGAAAAUUGGGAAGAAGGACUGGAGCCAGUGAGCCCUACUGGCCACUUUUUCAACAACUCUGUUUUAUCAAUAUCAAUUCUUGCUGUUUUGGAAUAUGAGAUUCCAAUUGAUGACUCACAAUUUCUGUCAUUGCUCGAGAACGUGUUCCUUCCUAUCAACCCACGCUUCUCCUCUAUCAUGGUACGCUCUCUCUCUCUCUCUCUCAUACUCUUUGUUUCCUUCCUUUUACUUAUUAAACAACUUUUCAAACGCAAAUUUUGUUUGAAAAGUUUACUUGAAGGUUGGAGAUUUAUGUUAAUUCUCGCAAUAAACUAUCAAAGUGAGUCGAACUGAAGAUUUAUUAUUUAUAAGUAAAGGGUCCAACUACAAUUUGUUGUUUUUUUUUUAUCGGUUUCAAUAUUUUCCACAGGUGAGCAUAGUUAGUUUAUAGGGCAAACUACAUUUCAAACUCUUUAGGUUUGGAGUGAAUUUUAAACAAGGUCAUGAAGGGAUUUUUUUUAACAAUAAUUCAUACUAAACAAUACAAUUAGAUCGUGGUAUUAAGUAAUUGCCCUAUAAUAUAUUAAAAUUGGAUCACUAGAUGCCUUUAGUCGGUUUGAUUGUUUGAUCUUGUUCGAUAUUAAGAGAGACGAGUCAUUAAUCCACUCCUAACCACACUGAUUUUGUCUCAACUUAACCACUGAUUGGCAGGUCUUAAGUUUUAUUACAAAAGGUCUCGGUAAUAUUAGGAGUGGAAUCAUACACUUAUAUGUUGUAUUUUAUUUCCCAUUGAAUGAUAUCCCUAAGCUUGAUAAAGUUUUAGAUCUAAGCAUUGUACUAGAUCAUUAUGGUAAUAUUGCAUCAUUAUAGGACGUGGGCUAAAUGUUUUUGAGCACGUUUGAAGUUUCGUUUGGAGUACUCUUUACAUGAUGUACUCUUUUUCAUGAGCAGUAAUUAUUUAAUUUGGAAACAGAUUGAAAAAGAUGGAAAGAAACAAUGGAAAAGGGUUGAGGUGAAGCUUGAAGACCAUGUUAAAACUCCAAUCUUCCCUUCCAACUUGUCGAAUGAAUCAUAUGACGAGUAUUUUGACGACUAUUUGUCAAACGUAGCAACAAAAAGAUUUCCACAAGAUAAACCACUGUGGGAAAUUCAUGUUAUAAAGUACCCAACUAGCAAUGCAGCUGGUAAUGUAGUAUUUAAGUUGCACCAUGCGUUAGGUGAUGGCUACUCACUCAUGGGCGCUCUUCUCUCUUGUCUACAAAGGGCUGACAAUCCUUCUCUUCCCCUAACUUUUCCUUCACGGAAGCCAUCGAAACCGAAGAAUGAAAAUGUUAUGACCAAAACUUUCUCAUCCUUGUUGAACACCAUAUCCGAUAUUUGGUGGGGCAUUUCAAAGAGCAUCACUGGGGAAGAUGAUCGAUCACCAAUAAAAUCCUCAAACAAUGAACUUGAGUUCACUCCAAUUACAGUAUCAACUAUGACGAUCUCUCUUGAUCACAUCAAAUUAAUUAAGAGCAGGCUUGAAGUGGUAAGUCUCAGGUUUUCUCUGUAAUAUUUUGGUAAAAAAUAGAAUGAAAUACACACACAAAACGCAAAUCACCAAACACCAUAUUUUCAAAUUCGUAAAACAUUGUAACACAGUUAACUUAUUUACUAUCACAGACGAUAAAUGACGUUCUUACUGGGAUGGUCUUUCUUGGCUCCCGGCUAUAUAUGCAAGAGAUGAACCAAACCUCAAGGGAAGUGCAUAGCACAUCAUUGGUUUUACUAAAUACAAGGAUCAUGGCGAAUUAUACGUCGAUUGAAGAAAUGGUCAAACCCGAUAGCAAGAGUCCAUGGGGAAACCAUUUUACAUUUUUGCAUGUUCCCAUUCCCAAGUUGACUGAAUUCUCAAAUGUGCUUGACUUCGUCUGGAAGACACAUAAAAUAAUCAAGCAGAAAAGAAAUUCUUCAGCUAUUUAUUUCACUAGUGGGCUAUUGAGGAUGCUGAACAAGUUUGGAGGCCACGAGGUUAGUAAAUAAUGACUCAUUUGGUAUACAUAAUUGGAUUGAAAUGGAGAAUUUUUAAAUUUUAAUCUAUUGAAGGUGGAUGUUAAUGAUUUUCAUUUGGAAUGAAUCAGAACAGGAUUAACUAUGAAGAAAAUUCAUCCCUUAACACACUUUUAAUUUAAUGAGUAAUCUAUCUUCAAUUCCCUCAAUCAGAACAGGAUUAGAAUGAACAAAUUUUCUUUAUGAGUAAUCUAUCUUCAAUUCCCUCAAUUAGAAUGAACAAAAUUCAUCUCUUAACGUACUUUUAAUUUGAUAUUCGUUCCAUCUAAUCAUGUGCACCAAACCAGCAUACGAAAAUGCAUGUGAUGUUUCAUAUAUACAACAUUUAUCUAAAAAUUAUAAGGCUACUGGUGGUGCAGGCAGCAUCAAGAUACGUCCGUACCACAUUAAAGAACUCGAGCGUGGUGAUCACAAGUAUGAUUGGCCCGGUGGAAAAAAUGUCCUUGGCAAACCAACCAAUCAAAGGGUUGUACUUUUUGGUAGUUGGGACACCUGAGGUAAACCAGUUAUUACUAUGUGAGUAAUGUUAGGGAGACUAAAUUUUUUGACAAAAUUUUAAAAACUAAUGGACAUGAAAGUUGAUAAUUGGUUUAUUACUUAAACGUUGAUAAACAUGAUGUGGUAAAAAAAUGGUCACCGUGGUCAUAAGGUAUUCGGAUGAUAGCUCCUGUGGUAAAAAAAUUCGGAUUUAAACCCUUGUGGUCUAAGUCUGUUAGGAUUUAAACCCCUGUGGUCUAAGUCUGUUAGGAUUUAUGCCCUUCUGUUAAAUAAUGUUGACGUGGCUGUCAUAUAUAUGACACGUGGCAAAAAAAAUAAUUUUUUUUUAAUUUUAAAAAACCUGAAUUUUUACAAACAAAAAAAACCCAGAACCUCCCUCCGCCCUUCGCCCGUUCCCCCCUGCCGGAGCCCUCUCCCCGCGCGACCCUCCUCCCUCUCCUUCUUCCUUCUUCUUCUUCUUCCCGCCGGUCUCCCCGCGCGACUCCUCCCUCUCCCUCUUCCUUCUUCUUCUUCCCGCCGGAGCCCUCUCCCCGCGCGACCCUCCUCCCUCUCCCUUUUCCUUCUUCUUCUUCUUCUUCUUCUUCUUGCAGAUAUGGGUUUUUUUCUUUUUUGUAAAAAUUCAGGUUUUUUAUAAAAAAAAAUUAAAAAUUAUUAUUUUUGCCAUGUGGCAGACAUUUGGCAGCCACGUGGCAUAUAUGUGGCAGCCACAUCAGCAUUAUUUAACAGAAGGGCAUAAAUCCUAACAGAUUUAGACCACAGGGGUUUAAAUCCGAAUUUUUUUACCUUAGGGGCUAUCAUCCGAAUACCUUAUGACGACGGGGACCAUUUAUCCGAUUAGGCCUAUUCUUUUUGGUGACACAUCAUUUAGUUUGUAAAUUUAGUCUCCAAAUUUAAUCUCUCUAGCAUUACCCUUACUAUCAUGCACACACGUACGGUCUCAAAAGUUUUGGAAACAAUAAUAUUCAUCGUCCGUUUCUGUAAUCAGAUACAUAAUUAUUAAGGUUUGGUUGAUUAACAAGGGCUGUGUGGUGUUUCUGUGAUUGUCUUGUUCGUUUUAGGCUCUUCUAGUAGCAUUUCAGAAAAUGAUAUUCGAAGAACUGUUUUGCAAAAUGAAAACAACAAAUAAAACUUUGCAUUUUUUUAUGAUGAGUUUGCAUCUUCAUUGAGUAAAUGAAUUUAUUGAUUUUUAUCUAUAUAUAUGUGAGGUAUGUUUUCGUAAUGAUAGUAGAGAUAUAUUAUACAUACAUGUGUGUGUGUGUGUAUAUAUAUAUAUAGGUAACACAAUUUACAUGGACCUGCAGGAACUUGACAUAUCAAUCGUAAGUUAUAUGGGAAAGGUGAAGCUUGCCUUCACAGUGAAAAAAGGCAUCAUAGAUCCACAAAAGUUGAAGUUGUGUAUGGAAAACGCCCUCAAUAUGAUAUCCAACGCCGCAGACAAAAAUUCUAUGCAAAAUAGGGCUGAAGAACAGUCACACAUUUGAAACUCUACCAAAACCGUAGAUCUAAAAAAUUCAUCGUCGGCCGGACUCUUGCUCUAGCUUAAGGCUGGUGGCAGCCUUCUCCUCCUUCCCCUCACCUCCUCUUUCUUGUUCUU